GUAUAUUGUCGAAUAUGUAUCUCAUCAUAUUUGACUACGCGAUUUAUUUGAGACUGUUUGAUUUUAAUGUUUGAAAUGUUUAACGAUGUUAGUUCUACGUAAAUCCUUCAUUUGACGGUUAGCGAUAGUCCAGAUGUUUCCGCGCAUUGAUACAAGAGAGGUCCUUCUCUUGUGUGUGGAAUUCAGUCAGUGCAGGGCGGCCAUUGUGAGGUCCCUAGAGGUGUACAGCAUGGCACAUGGGUCUGGUACAGACUGGAGGUCUCUGAAGUGUUCUCUACAAGUGUAGAUCACUAUAUCUACAGCGGGAUGCUGAGACAACACUACCCCACUACCUGCUCCUUGAUGAGAACAGUAGCAGCUGCAAUGUAUAUUCCAUACACCAAAAUAUAAACAUAGGUGACAGAGCAAAACUAUUGGCAAUGGCCUAACAUCCAGUUUACUCAGGUUCUGUUAGUCAGGUCUUAAAAUAUUACAGCUGUCCAGCCUCUUGGAAACCCAGACUUCGGGGACUGUGCCUCUGGUACAGUGGGGGCUGGUUCAGCUAAGUUAGAUGGGUUUGCUGGAUGUCAAGGCCACAAAUAAUAUUUCGUCUCUUUUGCUCUAGUUCCUGUUGUCACGGUCACGCUUGGUCGCCUUUCUGUUUGUCCUUAAGUACAACCUUGAGUUGCGGAAGAAUGUAACGCCAAGUCGGAUGCCAGCUAACAUUGUGCCAAUGGAAGUGCCUGCUCUAUGAUGUCGGGCAGCAUGAAGAGGUGGCGUGUCAGCUUGGGAGGGUCCAGGUCUUUCCCAAAGACAGACGACGUGACUUCAUUGGCCGCGUCCAGGAGGAGCUUCCCCAUGGCAACGAGAGGCUUCUGGAAGUCCUGGUCAAACCCCGACAAACGAGAACUUUGACAACCUGCGCGGCCGUAGAAUCCGAAUAAUGUUCUUAUGGGCACUAUCUAUGCUCUGCGACCUGGCCCUGAUGUCCAUCACAGCGUUGUGGCCCAGGCUGCCUAGGGAGCCCGGAAACAUGUCCGUUAACAUUCUGACGUCGUCCUCUACAUGAGAUGAGCUUGGAGCGCGAGAUUACUAGUAACUUG